rnacentral:rRNA from 1 species
AUUGAACACUGGCGGCAGGCCUAACACAUGCAAGUCGAACGAGUGGCGGACGGGUGAGUAAUGUCUGGGAAACUGCCCGAUGGAGGGGGAUAACUACUGGAAACGGUAGCUAAUACCGCAUACCAUCGGAUGUGCCCAGAUGGGAUUAGCUUGUAGGUGAGGUAACGGCUCACCUAGGCGACGAUCCCUAGCUGGUCUGAGAGGAUGACAAGCCACAAUGGAACUGGGAAAGGGUACAGACUCCUACGAGAGGCAGAAGUGGGGAAUAUGGCACAAUGGGCGGAAGCAUGAUGCAGCCAUGCCGCGGGUAUUAAGAAGGCCUUCGGGUUGUAAAGUACUUUAAGAGGGGAGGCGUUACCCGCAGAAGAAGCACCGGCUAACUCCGUGCCAGCAGCCGCGGUAAGAC